rnacentral:rRNA from 1 species
CCAAUAGCGUAUAUUAAAGUUGUUGCGGUUAAAAAGCUCGUAGUUGAAUUUCGGGGUUCAUACGUUGGUCGGGCUAUUUGGUCUGUACUUAUGUAAUGGAUUCCUACCUUCUGAAUAACCGGCAUGCCAUUAAUUUGGUGCGCCGGGGAAGCAGGACUGUUACCUUGAAAAAAUUAGAGUGCUUAAAGCAGGCUAUCGCCUGAAUACAUUAGCAUGGAAUAAUGAAAUAGGACGGCAUGGUUCUAUUUUGUUGGUUUCUAGGAUCACCGUAAUGAUUAAUAGGGAUAGUUGGGGGCAUUAGUAUUCAAUUGUCAGAGGUGAAAUUCUUGGAUUUAUUGAAGACUAACUUCUGCGAAAGCAUUUGCCAAGGAUGUUUUCAUUAAUCAAGAACGAAAGUUAGGGGAUCGAAGACGAUCAGAUACCGUCGUAGUCUUAACCAUAAACUAUGCCGACUAGGGAUCGGACGAUGUUAAUUUUUUAAUGACUCGUUCGGCGCCUUACG